CAGUGCCUCAGAUAUCAGGCGGGACUCGGGCCAGCUGGAGCCAGAGCUGGGGACUUCGCCGGACAGAUUGCAGCAGCCCUGAGCCGAGGAGAAGUUGAACUAAACUGUCCUUUGGAUACUGACUAUGAAGGAUGACCGUUAAAACAAACUUUAUCGUGGAAGAGCCAGCCAUGCAAACUGCUGCGCGUGCAGCUAAUGAAAGAUUACAAGCAGUUAGUCUCGCGGGCCUAAACAGUUUCCAAUCGACUCUUCCCUGAGUACUGCUUACCCUUCCUGCUGUGUAGUGGUUAGAAUCAAAUAGGGGCAAAGCUGAGUUACUGUAAGAUAAAGUCUGUUGCUACUCCUGUUGUUUUGGAGCCUUGUGAUAAGAAAGGAAGGAGUGACUUUGGCAUUUGCUGGUGGAGUCAAGCAGAUUUGCCAGAUGAUAAAAGAACUGUGUGUUUAAUUAUUUGUCAGGCACGCCGAUGUAAGACACAUCACAAACGAAAUCAGAGCAACAGUGAAGUCUGAGGGUAGUUCGCACGCGUUUCGUAGAGAAACAUCAAGUGUUAGAAACACCAGCGAGGAGAAUAAAGUUUCUUGGCUGCGUUA